rnacentral:misc_RNA from 1 species
AAGUCGUAACAAGGUUUCCGUAGGUGAACCUGCGGAAGGAUCAUUAACACUUUUAUCCAAUAUAAAAAACUAAACGUGAACUUUUCCCCUCCCUAUAUUCAAAAAACUUGCUUUUUUGAUGUAGGCUAAACCAUUUUAAAUUUCAAACCACUUUAACUUUUUAUAAGUCUUUUUUUGUUUAAGCUUAACGGCCUGCAAAAAAAUCAAAGACUGACUAACUAAAAAUUUUACUUAAGAUGUCAAUCAUGUUGAUCUCUUAAUUAAUAUUUUUUCUUUACGAAAUAAAUAUUAGUAUAUAAGAACAACUCUUAGCAAUGGAUAUCUUGGUUCUC